CCGUGUCCUUAUUUUGACACAAAGUAGCUGACAAUCAGAACAAAGAAAAUAGCCAAAUAGCAAACCAAAAUAUAGUGCAAAAAUAAGGUAUAAUUCCAAAAUAAGGACAAAAAGAAAAUGACAAAGCAGUGUCCUUAUUUUGACACAAAGUAGCUGACAAUCAGAACAAAGAAAAUAGCCAAAUAGCAAACCAAAAUAUAGUGCAAAAAUAAGGUAUAAUUCCAAAAUAAGGACA
rnacentral:lncRNA from 1 species